rnacentral:rRNA from 1 species
UACGUAGGGUGCGAGCGUUAAUCGGAAUUACUGGGCGUAAAGCGUGCGCAGGCGGUGAUGUAAGACCGAUGUGAAAUCCCCGGGCUUAACCUGGGAACUGCAUUGGUGACUGCAUUGCUGGAGUAUGGCAGAGGGGGGUGGAAUUCCACGUGUAGCAGUGAAAUGCGUAGAGAUGUGGAGGAACACCGAUGGCGAAGGCAGCCCCCUGGGCCAAUACUGACGCUCAUGCACGAAAGCUAGGGGAGCAAACGGG